rnacentral:rRNA from 1 species
CAAUAGCGUAUAUUAAAGUUGUUGCAGUUAAAAAGCUCGUAGUUGGAUUUCUGGUUGAAGCGACCGGUCGGGCGUUGAUUCGUCUGCACUGGAGUCGGUUUUGGCCAUCCUCUAGGAAAGUGCGUCUGGUAUUAAGUUAUCGGGCGUAUGAUCCUGGUCUUUUACUGUGAAAAAAUUAGAGUGUUUAAAGCAGGCCUUCGCCUUGAAUACAUUAGCAUGGAAUAAUAAGAUAGGACUUUGGUCUAUUUUGUUGGUUUGCAGACCGAAGUAAUGAUUAAUAGGGAUAGUUGGGGGUAUUUAUAUUCCGAUGUCAGAGGUGAAAUUCUUAGAUUUUCGGAAGAUAAACUUAUGCGAAAGCAUUUACCAGGGAUGUUUUCAUUAA